rnacentral:rRNA from 1 species
GAUGAACGCUGGCGGCGUGCUUAACACAUGCAAGUCGAACGAUGAAGCCCAGCUUGCUGGGUGGAUUAGUGGCGAACGGGUGAGUAACACGUGAGUAAACUGCCCUUGACUCUGGGAUCAGCCUGGGAAACUGGGUCUAAUACUGGAUAUGGCUUCUCCCCGCACGGUGGGGGGUGGAAAGAUUUAUUGGUCUUGGAUGGACUCGCGGCCUAUCAGCUUGUUUGUGAGGUAAUGGCUCACCAAGGCGACGCCGGGUAGCCGGCCUGGGAGGGUGACCGGCCACACUGGGACUGAGACACGGCCCAGACUCCUACGGGAGGCAGCAGCGGGGAAUAUUGCACAAUGGGCGCAAGCCUGAUGCAGCGACGCCGCGUGAGGGAUGACGGCCUUCGGGUUGUAAACCUCUUUCAGUAGGGAAGAAGCGAGAGUGACGGUACCUGCAGAAGAAGCGCCGGCUAACUACGUG